rnacentral:rRNA from 1 species
UACGUAGGCAGCAAGCGUUGUUCGGAGUUACUGGGCGUAAAGGGUGUGUAGGCGGUUGGAUAAGUGUGGUGUGAAAUCUCCCGGCUUAACUGGGAGGGUGCGCUACAAACUGUCUGACUAGAGUGUGGGAUGGGUAAGUGGAAUUCCUGGUGUAGCGGUGAAAUGCGUAGAUAUCGUAAGGAAGACCAGUGGCGAAGGCGGGUCUCUGGACAGUUCCUGACACUGGAGA